rnacentral:rRNA from 1 species
GGCCUACACAUGCAAGUCGAGGGGUAACAGGGAGAAGCUUGCUUUUCCGCUGACGACCGGCGCACGGGUGCGUAACGCGUAUACAAUCUGCCUUAUACUGGGGUAUAGCCUUUAGAAAUGAAGAUUAAUCCCCCAUAGUCUCUUAGAGUGGCAUCAUUUUAGGAGUAAAGGUUACGGUAUAAGAUGAGUAUGCGUUCUAUUAGUUUGUUGGUGAGGUAACGGCUCACCAAGGCUACGAUAGAUAGGGGCCCUGAGAGGGGGACCCCCCACACUGGUACUGAGACACGGACCAGACUCCUACGGGAGGCAGCAGUGAGGAAUAUUGGACAAUGGAGGCAACUCUGAUCCAGCCAUGCCGCGUGCAGGAAGACUGCCCUAUGGGUUGUAAACUGCUUUUAUAUAGGAAGAAACCUACUUACGUGUAAGUAGCUGACGGUACUAUAAGAAUAAGGAUCGG